rnacentral:misc_RNA from 1 species
GGACAAGAAACAUAAUGAGAGAAAGAACCAUCCUGGUCCUGGAUAGCACAUACGAGUAUUUAUCACAUCAAACAACAAUAAUUAGAAGGAUGUCUAGACCAUUAAUUGCAUGUUAUUUCAUUACUUUUGUUCAGAGAGUACAAUCUAACGCCACCUUAAUGAUUAACAAGAUCUCAGAGAUACAUAAAUAGUGGCUGCCUUGGAACUUUAGACCUCUUCUUCUUCUGCUGCUCCAUUAUUUCCUAAAUCUUCAAGCCAAUCGAAUUCACCAGACUCAAUCAAAGAAUCCAUGGAGGGAAACCUAAUUUCCUGCAUCGCAUCAUCCAAAACCAGGAGGGUUUUUUGAGAAUCUGGAGAUAACUGGGGAUGCUCACAUACAGUGUUGGUGUCACUAGCAGCUCCAUUAUCAAAAUUGUUUAGCAGAGAGAAAUCUGCAUUGAGCAACUCAGAUAGAAGCUGUUCAUCCAUCUCAAAAUCCAACAUUAAAUCAGACGAA